rnacentral:rRNA from 1 species
UACGGAGGAUGCAAGCGUUAUCCGGAAUGAUUGGGCGUAAAGCGUCCGCAGGUGGCUGUGUAAGUCUGCUGUCAAAGAGCAAAGCUCAACUUUGUAAAGUCAGUGGAAACUACACGGCUAGAGUGCGUUCGGGGCAGAGGGAAUUCCUGGUGUAGCGGUGAAAUGCGUAGAGAUCAGGAAGAACACCGGUGGCGAAGGCGCUCUGCUAGGCCGCAACUGACACUGAGGGACGAAAGCUAGGGGAGCGAAUGGG